rnacentral:sRNA from 1 species
UGUAAGACAGCAAUCUGGCUAUGACAUCUGUCAUGCUAUUGGUGCCAUGGUUGAUUUUAUGGAUCUAGUUGGUUAGGUGGCUGUUCCCUUCCUCCUUUACCAC